rnacentral:rRNA from 1 species
GAUUAAAGCAGCAAUGCGCUUGGGGAUGGGCUCGCGGCCUAUUAGUUAGUUGGUGAGGUAACGGCUCACCAAGGCGAUGACGGGUAGCCGGUCUGAGAGGAUGUCCGGCCACACUGGAACUGAGACACGGUCCAGACACCUACGGGUGGCAGCAGUCGAGAAUCAUUCACAAUGGGGGAAACCCUGAUGGUGCGACGCCGCGUGGGGGAAUGAAGGUCUUCGGAUUGUAAACCCCUGUCAUGUGGGAGCAAAUUAAAAAGAUAGUACCACAAGAGGAAGAGACGGCUAACUCUGUGCCAGCAGCCGCGGUAAUACAGAGGUCUCAAGCGUUGUUCGGAAUCACUGGGCGUAAAGCGUGCGUAGGCUGUUUCGUAAGUCGUGUGUGAAAGGCGCGGGCUCAACCCGCGGACGGCACAUGAUACUGCGAGACUAGAGUAAUGGAGGGGGAACCGGAAUUCUCGGUGUAGCAGUGAAAUGCGUAGAUAUCGAGAGGAACACUCGUGGCGAAGGCGGGUUCCUGGACAUUAACUGACGCUGAGGCACGAAGGCCAGGGGAGCGAAAGGGAUUAGAUACCCCUGUAGUCCUGGCAGUAAACGGUGCACGCUUGGUGUGCGGGGAAUCGACCCCCUGCGUGCCGGAGCUAACGCGUUAAGCGUGCCGCCUGGGGAGUACGGUCGCAAGAUUAAAACUCAAAGAAAUUGACGGGGGCCCGCACAAGCGGUGGAGUAUGUGGUUUAAUUCGAUGCAACGCGAAGAACCUUACCUGGGCUUGACAUGUAAUGAACAACAUGUGAAAGCAUGCGACUCUUCGGAGGCGUUACACAGGUGCUGCAUGGCCGUCGUCAGCUCGUGUCGUGAGAUGUUUGGUUAAGUCCAGCAACGAGCGCAACCCCUGUUGCCAGUUACCAGCACGUGAAGGUGGGGACUCUGGCGAGACUGCCCAGAUCAACUGGGAGGAAGGUGGGGACGACGUCAGGUCAGUAUGGCCCUUAUGCCCAGGGCUGCACACGUACUACAAUGCCCAGUACAGAGGGGGCCGAAGCCGCGAGGCGGAGGAAAUCCUAAAAACUGGGCCCAGUUCGGACUGUAGGCUGCAACCCGCCUACACGAAGCCGGAAUCGCUAGUAAUGGCGCAUCAGCUACGGCGCCGUGAAUACGUUCCCGGGUCUUGUACACCUGUCUCUUAUACA